UGCCAGCAGCCGCGGUAAUACGGAGGGUGCAAGCGUUAAUCGGAUUUAUUGGGCGUAAAGGGGGCGUAGGCUGGAAAGUAAGUCAGAUGUGAAAUUCCGAGGCUCAACCUCGGAGCUGCAUUUGAAACUACUUUUCUUGAGGAUAGGCGGAGAAAACGGAAUUCCACAAGUAGCGGUGAAAUGCGUAGAUAUGUGGAAGAACACCCGUGGCGAAGGCGGUUUUCUAGCUUAUUCCUGACGCUGAGGCCCGAAAGCUAGGGGAGCGAACAGGAUUAGAUA
rnacentral:rRNA from 1 species